rnacentral:rRNA from 1 species
UAAGACGGAGGGUGCAAGCGUUGUUCGGAAUCACUGGGCGUAAAGCGCGUGUAGGCGGUUCGAUUAGUCGAGUGUGAAAGCCCGAGGCUCAACUUCGGAAGCGCAUUCGAAACUGUCGGGCUUGAGUACGGGAGAGGGAAGUGGAAUUCCUGGUGUAGAGGUGAAAUUCGUAGAUAUCAGGAGGAACACCGGUGGCGAAGGCGGCUUCCUGGACCGAUACUGACGCUGAGACGCGAAAGCGUGGGGAGCAAACAGG